rnacentral:rRNA from 1 species
UAUUCAAUUUUGAGUGGAGAAGACUCGUAAGUUAAGUGACGAUAGCCUAGGAGAUACACCUGUACCCAUGCCGAACACAGUAGUUAAGCCCUAGAACGCCUGAAGUAGUUGGGGGU